GACGAAGGAUGCAAGCGUUAUCCGGAUUCAUUGGGUUUAAAGGGUGCGUAGGCGGACUUGUAAGUCAGUGGUGAAAUCUCUUUGCUUAACAAAGAAACUGCCAUUGAUACUGCAGGUCUAGGGUAUAGAUGACGUUGGCGGAAUAUGACAUGUAGUGGUGAAAUACUUAGAUAUGUCACAGAACACCGAUAGCGAAGGCAGCUCACUAGGUCUGGAUUGACGCUCAGGGACGAAAGCGUGGGGAGCAAACAGG
rnacentral:rRNA from 1 species